rnacentral:rRNA from 1 species
UACGGGGGGAGCAAGCGUUGUUCGGAUUUACUGGGCGUAAAGGGCGCGUAGGCGGCCACCGCAAGUCGACUGUGAAAUCUCCGGGCUUAACUCGGAAAGGUCAGCCGAUACUGCGGGGCUAGAGUGCAGAAAGGGGCAACUGGAAUUCUCGGUGUAGCGGUGAAAUGCGUAGAUAUCGAGAGGAACACCUGCGGCGAAGGCGCCCACCUGGCCUGCUACUGACGCUGAAGCUCGAAAGCUAGGGGGAGCAAACGGGG